GAUUGAACGCUGGCGGCAGGCCUAACACAUGCAAGUCGAACGGUAACAGGAAGCAGCUUGCUGCUUUGCUGACGAGUGGCGGACGGGUGAGUAAUGUCUGGGAAACUGCCUGAUGGAGGGGGAUAACUACUGGAAACGGUGGCUAAUACCGCAUAAYGUCGCAAGACCAAAGAGGGGGACCUUCGGGCCUCUUGCCAUCAGAUGUGCCCAGAUGGGAUUAGCUUGUUGGUGAGGUAACGGCUCACCAAGGCGACGAUCCCUAGCUGGUCUGAGAGGAUGACCAGCCACACUGGAACUGAGACACGGUCCAGACUCCUACGGGAGGCAGCAGUGGGGAAUAUUGCACAAUGGGCGCAAGCCUGAUGCAGCCAUGCCGCGUGUAUGAAGAAGGCCUUCGGGUUGUAAAGUACUUUCAGCGGGGAGGAAGGUGUUGUGGUUAAUAACC
rnacentral:rRNA from 1 species